UCUUCAUAACCCCAGCAGUGUCUCAGUCUCAGAGUAGCCAGCAGAGACAGGGGACAGCUUGCUGGGUAAAUAGUGAACGUGAGUGCGGGCAUGAACGAUCAACGACGACGUGUGCACGCAUACUUGUAACUCUUUCUCGCCCUCAACUGAAAAGCGAGUAGACGAGAGGAUAUUUGAUCGAAAUAAGAGCACAAGGCUAGGCUCUACUGUUUAGUGAAUGCGUGCUGUGCGUGUGUGGUGGUAAAGAAAGCGUCGUCGAUAAGGGAAUAAUCCUAGCUCGAUCUGAAUUGAGAGUGACGGCUGCUGCUGCUUCUCCUGCUACUGCUAUCUGACAACGUCGUCGGCGAGUCUUGGUGGAGGCGCGGCCGUGACACGCGCGCGCACAGUCCAACACGCAAGAACUGAGUGAGAGUGAGAGAAAAAAAGCGAUACACACGCUACUUUAACGGGACCCUCGUCGAGGACGCGCCAAAGAUAUCGUCAUGUCCAACGAGGAGACCUCCGCCGAUCGCAAUGUCGAAAUCUGGAAGAUCAAGAAGCUCAUCAAGAGCUUGGAGAUGGCAAGGGGGAAUGGAACCAGCAUGAUUUCAUUAAUCAUUCCACCAAAGGAUCAAAUAUCUCGUGUAAGCAAAAUGCUGGCUGAUGAAUUUGGUACAGCAUCAAAUAUCAAGUCUCGAGUCAAUAGACUAUCCGUCCUGGGAGCCAUCACAUCGGUACAGCAUAGGCUAAAGCUUUAUACCAAAGUACCUCCAAAUGGCCUGGUAAUCUACUGUGGCACAAUUGUCACUGAGGAAGGAAAAGAAAAGAAAGUGAAUAUAGACUUUGAACCUUUUAAACCUAUUAAUACAUCUUUGUAUCUUUGUGACAAUAAGUUUCACACUGAAGCAUUGACAGCGCUUCUAGCAGACGAUAAUAAAUUUGGUUUUAUUGUUAUGGAUGGUAAUGGUGCACUAUUUGGUACACUACAAGGAAACACAAGAGAAGUUCUUCACAAAUUCACUGUUGAUUUACCGAAAAAGCACGGCAGAGGAGGUCAAUCUGCUCUUCGUUUUGCUCGGUUGCGUAUGGAAAAACGUCAUAAUUACGUACGAAAAGUUGCUGAAGUAGCGACUCAACUUUUUAUCACUAACGAUAAGCCUAACAUUGCUGGUUUAAUUCUUGCUGGUAGUGCAGACUUCAAAACUGAGCUUAGUCAGUCCGACAUGUUUGAUCCUAGAUUGCAAGCUAAAAUUAUUAAAUUAGUGGAUGUAUCUUAUGGUGGAGAAAACGGUUUUAACCAGGCUAUUGAAUUAGCAGCAGAAUCAUUACAAAAUGUUAAAUUUAUUCAAGAAAAGAAGCUCAUUGGUCGUUACUUCGACGAAAUUUCGCAAGACACGGGGAAAUAUUGUUUCGGAGUUGAAGACACGCUGAGAGCACUUGAAUUAGGUAGUGUGGAAACGUUAAUUUGUUGGGAGAAUCUCGACAUUCAAAGAUAUGUACUCAAAAAUCAUACGACUGGCGAGGAAAAGGUACUUCACCUGACGCCAGAACAGGAAAAGGAUAAGACUCACUUCACAGAUAAAGAGAGCGGAGUAGAAUUGGAAUUAGUGGAAUGUCAGCCCCUGCUAGAAUGGCUCGCAAACAACUACAAAAGCUUUGGUGCGACUCUAGAAAUUAUUACAGACAAAUCUCAGGAAGGAUCGCAAUUUGUCAGAGGGUUUGGUGGUAUUGGAGGAAUACUCCGCUACAAAGUCGACUUCCAGUCAUUGCAGGCUGACGAGCCUCUCGAUGACGUCGAUCUCGAUGAUUAUUAAAUUCGCGUCUCUGUCGUUCGGUCAGAGUCGACCAGCUUGCACAAUGGAAAUUAAUAGCCCAGAAAAUGUAUUUUGCGGUACAAGGUAGAUUUUCAAAGUAUGCAGCUGGAAGAGUUUGAGUUUGAUAACUUCGACUACGACGACUAUUAAAUUUAUCGGACUCCAGUUUUGGGUGUUUAUUUCGGGCAAAUACAUGCAGAAUGAUAAAGUUGAAUAGAAAAAAAAUAGGAGCAGCCACAGACUACGUGAAUAGUAUCAAGGAAACAAAAUGAACCGCCGAACGCGCGCCGACACGUCACCUCUUUCUCUCCAUCAUUCCAAAGUGAAACGAAGUUUAAGAUAGGAUCAAAAAAAGUACUUCUAUUUUUUUCUAUAGAAAAACGAAUGAAAGAAAAAAUGUGGUUCUGUGAACUUUCCAAUACUACGAAGGAUCGAGAGAAAGAGACAAUAUUGGUGCUGUGCAGUAAAUAAUAAAAAAUGGAGUAAUUUAAAAAAAUUUAUAACAGUCUGUGCUUGUGAGUCAAAGACUCGAUCGUGGAAGACUGCAACAACUUAAACUAAGUAACAAAAAAGCCAGCUUGAAGCCUGCCUAUGACGUUGAAUUGACGACCCGCCCCCGUCGCAUUUUCUAUCGUAACGUUGACUCGUCGUCGAGGCUGCUCUGAGACUCGUUGAACACAAUUAACGAAUAAUAAAAAAUCAAUAAUAUUUAAACAAGUUUUAUAAAUUAGUAUGAAUUGAUGAAAGUUCUUCAUACAUCCAGACCCUCGUAUUAGUUUACUUUAUUGUUGCAAUUCUAUUAAUAUUAAUAAGUAACUGUGGGAAAUGAAUUCUCUCUUUCUCUCUCUCUCUCUCUGUCUCUCUUUCUCUUUCUCUCACUCUGUUUCUUAUUGUUUUUCGUGCUUUAUUCUUUUUUAAAAUCGAAUUAAAAACUGUUGGUUAAUGAAUUUAAUUGAUAUCUUCUCGAAGCCUGUAAUAUCAAUUUUUCCAGCAGUGGUAGAUGCUGCAUGAGGCAGCCUUGACGAAACCGGUCGACCUGCCAAGCGUUACCUCUGUUCUUGUGGAGAAACGUGGACGAAAUGUAAUAAACUGAUUGCUAUUACCGAAAUGGUGUACAAUAUUAAGAUACUUUGCAUAAAAAACAAUGUUACAUAAUUUAAAGAAAUGAAAAAUAUUGAAUUAAAAAGAAAGAAUUUUAAA